GCCUCGAAAAAAACCCUCUAAAAGGAUCAACCAGCUGGUGCUGCUGCCAGGUAAAGCCCUUUUUUUUGGGCCAAAUUACUUCACACCUCGCAGGCAGCGGGGGUGGUGGCCGGCCCUGCACGUUUUCAAAAUUCAUUUGUUCUAAAACUUAAUCAGCGAACGUCGUCGGCGGACAAGAAGUCGUGAUUGCGCAACUCAUAACUCACGAAUAAAGAACCAGAGCAGAGCAGACCAACUUGAACUUGCUUUUGGCGGUUUUUUUUGGCGGAGAAAAGAGGGAGUGGUGUUGACUGCACUUCACACCGAGCUUUGUGGCUCGUCUUUUGGUACAUUGUUUAAUUAAAAACGUAGCUGCCGCCACGCUGCUGCAACACGUACAAAGAUGAUGACAACAACAUGGGGAUUGAGGAGGAAUCUAGAGGAGUCAUGGAACAAAAAACAAAGAAGAUCGGGAGCAAAAGACGUUAAAAUUAAAUAUAGGAAUAAACUGGUAUUUUUUCAUAACCAUUUCUUAGGAGAAAGACUUAAAAGAUGAUGGGAAUCUCUAUAUUCCUUCAGUUAAAUCAAACAAAAGGCAGAAAGACCUAGAAAUUGUUAAAAAAAAUAUGGCAAAAUCAAAAGAAAUUCAAGGGAAAUCAUACCCAAAAUGAAAAAUAUAAUAUAUGUUAAAUGUUUAUGGAUCAAAAAAACUGCCCUAAAAGGUAUCCCAAAACACCAUUAAUCCUACGAAACCCCAAUAAAACCACUCUCUAUUUUUCCACACCACAUUUUCUCUAAAUGAAGUGCCUGCCCAGGGUAUCCAUCAUUCGUGAGGCACUUUCCUCUUCAGCGCGUGGUGUUUAUAAUUCGCGAAUCAUGUUGCAUUGUUCGGGGCGUCUGCUGAUUCUGUUUCUGUUCUCUGGAUGAUGACGAGAGGAGCUUUACUUUUAUGGGUCUUCCUCUCGGGGCACCGCCAUGAUGUGGCACAUUUCCGCCACUGAGACUUGAACUUGGGACAGGAGCUCCUGUAUGCCUCGCCCUUGCCUUUAACAAUGACAAUUGUUAGUGUCGGGUGCUGCUGCUUGCUGCUGCUUCUGCUGAUUAUUUUGACUUGAUAACGAGCUAAACAAUAAAAACAAGCAUCUUCAGGCCCCGCAAACAAA